rnacentral:rRNA from 1 species
CGCAUCUGUGCAUGCAGCAUAUCAAUAAGCGGAGGAAAAGAAACUAACAAGGAUUCCCUUAGUAACGGCGAGUGAAGCGGGAAGAGCUCAAAUUUGAAAUCUUCAAGGUUUUACCUUGACGAAUUGUAGUUUAAAGAAGUGUUUUCUGUUGAAGUUUUGGUAAAAGUUCUUUGGAAUAGGACAUCAUAGAGGGUGAGAAUCCCGUAUUUGACCAUUAUUUUCAGCUGUGUGAUACACUUUCAAAGAGUCGGAUUGUUUGGGAAUACAGUCCAAAAUGGGUGGUAAAUUUCAUCUAAAGCUAAAUAUUGGCGAGAGACCGAUAGCGAACAAGUACCGUGAGGGAAAGAUGAAAAGAACUUUGAAAAGAGAGUUAAACAGUACGUGAAAUUGUCAAAAGGGAAGCGUUUGACACCAGUGUUGUUUUUCUGAAAAUCAAUUAAAGAACUGUUUAUGCUAAGCUGUUUAGACUUUAUCAGCUAACUGUUUAGUUUCGAGCUUUUCUUUAAUGCACUUUUCAGUUAACAAGUCAACAUCAAUUUCUUUUGCUGUAAAAAAGCUUGAGGAAGGUGGCUUGAGAUUCGUCUUAAGUGUUUAUAGCCUCUUGCCUACGCAGUCGGAGAGAUUGAGGUCUGCAGCGUAGAUCCUUCGGGGCUAAAUGCAUUUGUGCUAAGUUAUAGCAUUUUAUAGACAACUUGUUGACUAUGAUUUGUCUUGUAGCUUACUCGCUUAUGUUAUUUUACCUACGCUUAGGAUGUUGAUAGUCACAGCGUGUAC